rnacentral:rRNA from 1 species
UGGUGGGUAGUUUGACUGGGGCGGUCUCCUCCUAAAGAGUAACGGAGGAGCACGAAGGUUGGCUAAUCCUGGUCGGACAUCAGGAGGUUAGUGCAAUGGCAUAAGCCAGCUUGACUGCGAGCGUGACGGCGCGAGCAGGUGCGAAAGCAGGUCAUAGUGAUCCGGUGGUUCUGAAUGGAAGGGCCAUCGCUCAACGGAUAAAAGGUACUCCGGGGAUAACAGGCUGAUACCGCCCAAGAGUUCAUAUCGACGGCGGUGUUUGGCACCUCGAUGUCGGCUCAUCACAUCCUGGGGCUGAAGUAGGUCCCAAGGGUAUGGCUGUUCGCCAUUUAAAGUGGUACGCGAGCUGGGUUUAGAACGUCGUGAGACAGUUCGGUCCCUAUCUGCCGUGGGCGCUGGAGAACUGAGGGGGGCUGCUCCUAGUACGAGAGGACCGGAGUGGACGCAUCACUGGUGUUCGGGUUGUCAUGCCAAUGGCACUGCCCGGUAGCUAAAUGCGGAAGAGAUAAGUGCUGAAAGCAUCUAAGCACGAAACUUGCCCCGAGAUGAGUUCUCCCUGAGACUUUAAGUCUCCUGAAGGAACGUUGAAGACGACGACGUUGAUAGGCCGGGUGUGUAAGCGCAGCGAUGCGUUGAGCUAACCGGUACUAAUGAACCGUGAGGCUUAACCUUACAACGCCGAAGCUGUU